rnacentral:lncRNA from 1 species
UCAUCCUUUGAUAGUAUGUUAAGAGAAAAGGCCUUUCUCACCUUCCUGUUCUGUCUCUGUCUUCCCUCCCUUCCUCAGUCUCUAGAAGUAGCAACAUGGUGAUGCAGACACAGCAAUCACCCACACUAUGAUGGUUCUUGAGCUUAUUGUAGUGUCUGCGCUCACCAUUUUUGCUAGACAAAAAGAGAGAGGGAGAGGAAGUAAAGAGAAAGAAAAGGAUGUCAUCAGCGUGUGAAGACAAGUCAUGGAGGGGGCUAUAUUACCUCUAGACAGCUCUAGUCAUUGAAACAAGAUUUGGAAUCAAGAAGCCAUCUGGGCCAUCUUGUAGUUUCCCAUGGAGUGUUCUAUUCAAUCUAAUUAUGUAUGCUUCAUUGCUCACUAUCAAGGUAAGCGAAUCUACUCUUCUGCCAUAGAAACAAAGAGUGUUGAUACAUGUCAUUCUUCUUGUCACUUGCCAACUUCCUAAAUGGAAUGUUGAUUUUUGUACUCCUUCGCAUUUUUCUGUCCCUGGAUCUUGGGUGUUAUCAGCCACCAAAAUAGCAUGGCAAUGCAUAUGGCAAACAUGAAAGAAUAAUCUGAGUGCUGAAGCCCACGAAGUGUUUUGAAGGCUGCUACCAAUUCUCAUGUGUCCCUGGUUGAUGGUUCUGGGUCUGUUUUUGGACCAAACCAUCAGAAGUUGAGUACUCGUAGGCGGGAUCAAGUUCUCCAUAUGAAAUAAGAAAGAUAUCUAGUUUGAGCUUCUUGUAUCGUCAACAUGCUCAGAAGAAAUAAAUCGGCUUCCAUAAAUCCACUAACACAUGCAGCAACAUCAUUAAAAAACCUUGUUGGUAAGAAGUCAUUUAUAAAGCCAAAAUGGAACCAAUGUUGGUAGGUUAAGAAAAUAAUGAGCAAUUAGGAGUUGAACCAUGAAGAAACGUCUGCUUAAAUGGAUGUCUUGUUGAGACACACUAAGUUCCUCUUGAGCGGAGCUCCAAACGCCAACCCCCCCCCCAAAUAAAAAAAAUGCAACAGCAUAUAUCGAUUGAAUAUAGAUAGCAGUAUAAAUCAUCUUUAUAAUCAUAAUAAUAAUGGUUAUUAAUAGCAUGUAAAAGGUGAUCUUACAAGAGAGAUCGCAGGCCAGUUCAUAACCCAACUGGCAAGUCAAUCAAAUACACAUAAUUUGGAAAGCCUAAAAAAUUUGGAGAAAAAAGAGGGAGAAAAACAAAAGAAAAGCUUUACAUGGGCGAGAUGUAGCAGUGCUCCACAGCCUAUACCCACCAUCCAAAUCUUCUCAGCUUUGAAAUUCCAAUUACCAAUUUUCCCCAUCAUAAAAACAGUUGGAUCUUUCCAAUCUUGAAAUAUUAAUAUAACAAUUUUGUAUCUUCUUAGAGGGAAUAAUUUUCUUCAAGGACCUCGAUACUUGCGGAAACAAAAACAGCCCUGAGGCUGAUCAACAGGAAGCAUACCUCCUCCUCUUGAUGUAUCAAUGGCUUCUAUCAUAGCAAC